GGAUUAGAUACCCUGGUAGUCCACGCCGUAAACGAUGUCAACUAGUCGUCGGGAGGGUCAGCCACUCGGUGACGCAGCUAACGCAUUAAGUUGACCGCCUGGGGAGUACGCCGGCAACGGUAAAACUCAAAGUAAUUGACGGGGGCCCGCACAAGCGGUGGAGCAUGUGGUUUAAUUCGAUGCAACGCGAAGAACCUUACCUGGCCUUGACAUCCUUGGAACUCAGCAGAGAUGCUUUGGUGCCUUCGGGAACCGAGUGACAGGUGCUGCAUGGCUGUCGUCAGCUCGUGUCG
rnacentral:rRNA from 1 species